GAUCAAGCAUUUUUCUGGAUGUUUUUGUGAAGGUGCUUUGGGGUUAAAGCAGUGGAUUUUGAGUGGAGCAGAUUGUCCUCUGUGAUGUAUGUGGGCCUCAUCCAACCAGUUGAAGGCCUGAAUAGAGCAGAAGACUGACUUCCCAGCAAAGCAAGAGGGAAUAUCCUGCUAGUGGAAGCCCUUCAAACUUGAAAGGCAGUAUCAGAUUUUCCCUGGGUCUCCAAACUUUGGCCUACCCUGCAGCUUCCAUAAUCAUAAAAUUCAUACCAAAAAGUGGAGUUAUUGCUAUGCCACAAGAUGAAUAGCUUUGCUCCUUAUGUCCUUCUGCCAUGAUGUCUACCUCAUUCCAGGACCAAAGCAAUGGAGCCAGCUGGUUAUGGACUAAAACUUCUGAAACUAUGAGCCAAAAUAAACUUUUCCUCCUUUUAAACUAUUUUUCUCAGGUAUUUCGUCACAGUGACAGAAAACUAACACACUGACCAUGUCCUUUGCUGACCAUAUUGCCCCCUUUUCUGAGAGAAAAAGGCUCUUCAAUCUUUUCCCCACCCAGAGUGCCACUGAGCCAAAUGGAGACUAUUGCUAACAUUUGGUCUGCUCAUAAGGAAGACAUUAUUUUCCUUAGAUUUUUGUGAUGUGUGUGGUUUGGAUCUGGUAAAAGGGUAGAUUCCCCAAAGUCCCAUUCAUGCAUGUGAGCCUGCCCCACCAAAUCUUGGGAAAGUAAAGUACUAUCUGAGUGAUUCCUUUGAUUUCUGUCAUGUGAACCUUCUCUCCAGCUAGAAGCAGAAGGAUCCUCACUGCCAGGGAGGGCUCCAUGCUGGCUACGAAUGUGAGACAUCAAGGAGUUUAAGCAGCUCCAGAAUGAAUUUACGAUUAGUUAAUUUUCAAAAAUUGCCAUUAGUGUAGCUCUUUUUUUCUGGCACUGAAUGAGGCACUGUGCAUGACUUUGGCAAGCUUACCUAAGUUACACAUCCAUGGGGAGAAUGGAGAACACCAGUGUCAUUUGGGAGAAGCUCACUUUUUGCAGGAGAUGAGAGCAUCACCAGCCAGGGCAUUUGGCAGUAGAGUCACACCCUCCUGGGCACAAUCAGCUCAUCUUUUAGUCAUUCAUAGUAUGGAAAGUUUGGCUGCCUAUUGAAAAGGAUGGAAUGAGUGAUUUUCUUGUGCUCUGUUGAACUGGGAUAGGUUUCUUACAUUUCUGUUACACCACAGAGUAGAAACCUUCCUUUAAUAAACCACAGGUUCUGGUGUGUUGGGGACAAGAAGUGGGAAUUAUAUAGGGAGGACUGGCCUUUAGGGUAGGUGGGUAGCCACCUACCUAUACCUACAAAUAUGAUAAAGGGGCUAAGAGCUCAGGAGUCAGGAGUCAGGCUGCCUGAGUCAAACACUGGCUCCACCAGUUACUCGCAGCAUGACUUCAGGUAAGUAGUUAUUAACUCCUCUAAGUUUCUUAUCCUCAUUUAUAAUGUGGGCAUUAUUUUACCUAAGUUACAGAGUUGUAAGGACAAAAUGAGAAAAUCAGUGUAAAGUGUUUGGCUUAUCAUACAUUUUAAUACAUGUUAUUUAAUGUACUAGGAAUGACUCCCAGUCCAAAAAUUCAAACAUUAAAAACAGUUUUGUUAUUUAAUUCAACUUGAGGCACUCAUCUUACCAUGGUGGAGGGUGGAGGGAAAUUUGAACUCAAUUGCUGAGUCUUCUUUAGCCCAGAGUUGUGCAGUUGUUUGCAGUCAUAGAGCACUUUCCCACACUGGACCAUGUGUAUGACCAUAAAAGAGCUGCACAGCUCUGAGAUGAUGGACUCAAGAAUUCAGUUCAAGAGCUGGGCAUGGUGCUGCAUUCCUAUAUUCCCAGCACUCUGGGAGGCUGAGGCAGGCAGAUUGCAAGGUUGAGUCAGUCUGGGAAAUUUAGCAAUUUAACAAGACCCUGCCUCAAAAUAAAAAAAAUGCAAAGAGCUAGCAAUGUAGCUCAGUGUGAGGCCCUGGCUUUAUUCCCUAGUACUCCAAAACCAAAAUGAAACAAAAAGUAUAAAGAAUCCAGUUCAAGUCCAACACUUUUGGUGCUUCCAAGACACAUUUGGGUCAUAAGACUGUGGCAAAGUUGGCGUGUACCACAUGGCUAAGCCCUCCAAGGUCUUGCCACCUCUCUGAGACAUUGACAGAGCAGCAGAGAUCACGAAGCUGUAGACUUUUCCUCCCCCUCAAGGCCUCAUAAUAGAACAUUCUGUUGUAUUCUAUGUAAACUUACAACUGGUCCUAGCAGAGCAAGCCCUCCUAUUAAAUUCACUAGACCAUGGUAACUAAAAACAAGAAGGAAUAGUUUGCCAGUGUGGUGAUGAAAUGAAACAGCUAAUAAAUCUGUUAGGAAUUAGAAAUCUGUCAUUUUCUUACACAUUACUUAAGAUAACUAUGUUUUUGUGUGAUGUACAUAACAGACACAACUUAAUUUUAUCUGAAAAUCAUAUUUUUAACCUUUUUAUUUAGAAAAAUUCAGUACCUACACAAAAGUUAGAAGAAUAAUACAACAAAUACUUGUAUAUUAUUCACUUGGAUUCACAUAUGGUUAACAUUUUGCCAGGUUUGUAUUCUCUCUCUCUCUCUCUCUCUCUCUCUCUCUCUCUCUGUCUGUCUCUCUCUCUCUCUCCUCCCUCCCUGUCUUUCUAACUUCUAAAUGACCAUUUGAAAAUAAGUUGCAGAGAUGGUGAUCUUUCUCUCUGAAUGUUUCACUAUGCAUUUCUUAUGAACAAGUAUACUUACUCCUGACAG
ensembl:lncRNA